rnacentral:rRNA from 1 species
AACCCCGCAGAUGCGCAUCGGGUGGAUGCCUAGGCGCCUGGAGCCGACGAAGGACGUGGCCACGCGACGAAAUGCGCCGGGGAGGGGCUGGCACCCUGCGAUCCGGCGAUCUCCGAAUGGGGCAACCCCGCACCGGAAGGUGUGACCGCACCAUGUGUGCGGAGGGAACCGGGGGAACUGAAACAUCUCACGUACCCCGAGGAAGAGAGAGGAUUCCCGUAGUAGUGGCGAACGAACCGGGAAGAGCCCAAACCCGUGCGGCGCACGAGGCUGCUGCCGCUGCCGCAGGGGGGUUGAACGCGAUGCCGGGAGGGGCCAGCAGACCCCUCGCCCGGGCAUGGUCUGUCAGCCGAACGGCACUGGAAGGGCCGGCCGGAGCGGGUGAGAGCCCCGUAGGCGACGACAGGGGAUGCCGGGUGCGGCAUGAGCGUGAGUACUGCCGGACACGCGAAAUCCGGUGGGAAGCAGGGUCGCCCACGACCCAAGGCUAAACACUCCAGGCGACCGAUAGCGAACCAGUACCGUGAGGGAAUGGUGAAAAGCACCCCGGCGAGGGGAGUGAAAGAGAUCCUGAAACCCGAUGCGUCCGGCCGGUCGGAGCACGAGCAAUCGUGUGACGGCGUGCCUUUUGUAGAAUGAGCCAACGAGUAUGUGGCCGUGGCGAGGUUAAGGCGGCGGACAGCCGGAGCCGGAGCGAACGCGAGUCCGAAAGGGCGAUGAGUCGCGGUCAGAUGACCCGAAACCGGGUGAUCUACCCUUGGGCAGGGUGAAGCGGGGGGAACACGCCCGUGGAGGCCCGAACCCGUGUCCGUUACAAAGGGCAGGGAUGACCUGAGGGUAGGGGUGAAAUGCCAAGCGAACCCGGAGAUAGCUGGUUCUCCCCGAAAUGUAUUUAGGUACAGCCUCACCACGAGGCCAUGGUGGAGGUAGCGCACUGGCACGGCGAUGGGGCUUCCCGCUUACUGACCCGUUCCAAACGCCGAAUGCCGCCAGGGUGUGGUGGGAGUGAGACGGUGGGAGCUAAGUUCCAUCGUCGAGAGGGAAACAGCCCAGACCGCCAGCUAAGGUCCCGAAGUGCAUGCUAAGUGGGCAAGGGAGUCGCGGCGCAGAGACAACCAGGAGGUUGGCUUAGAAGCAGCCAUCCUUGAAAGAGUGCGUAAUAGCUCACUGGUCGAGGCGCGGCGGCACCGACAAUCCACCGGGGCUCAAGCAUGCCACCGACGCUGCGGAUGCGCAGGGAACUGUGCGUGGUAGGGGAGCGUCGUGGUCAGCAGGGAAGGGGGAGCGUGAGCGAACCUGGAGCGGCCACGAGUGCGAAUGUUGGCAUGAGUAGCGCGAGGGCGGUGCGAAUCCGCCCCACCGAAUGCCCGAGGGUUCCGCAGCGAUGCUGAUCAGCUGCGGGUGAGGCGGGCCUAAGCCGAGGCCGGAAGGCGCAGGUGAUGGACAACGGGUUCACAUUCCCGUCCCGCAUCCCGUCCGUUUGAGCGAGGGCGUGACGCAGGGGGCUAGGUUCCGGGGUCGCGAGACCCUCCAAGCCGGUAGGGAGCCCGGAUAGGCAAAUCCGUUCGGGCGAUGACCGAGAGGUGAGUGGAAGGGAAGGGCUGCGGCCCGACCCGGAGGGAUUGAGGCCGGACUGCCGAGAAAAGCGUCUAGCGAGGAUGGGUGCGCCCGUACCGCAAACCGACACAGGUGGGCUGGUAGAGCAUACCGAGGUGGACGGGAGAACCCCGGUUAAGGAACUCGGCAAAUUCGCUCCGUAACUUCGGGAGAAGGAGCGCCCCGGCAGCGUGACCACCCGUGCGGUGUGAGCGUGAGGGGGCCGCAGUGACCAGGCCCAGGCGACUGUUUACCAAAAACACCGGUCCCUGCCAACGCGAGUGAGCGUGGACGUAUAGGGGCUGAGACCUGCCCAGUGCUGGAAGGUUAACGGGAGGGGUGCGAGCUCCGAACGGAAGCCCCAGUAAACGGCGGCCGUAACUAUAACGGUCCUAAGGUAGCGAAAUUCCUUGUCGGGUAAGUUCCGACCCGCACGAAAGGUAGAACGAUCUGGGCGCUGUCUCAACCGGGGACCCGGCGAAAUUGCAAGACCGGUGAAGAUACCGGUGACUCGCAGCAGGACAAAAAGACCCCGUGCAGCUUUACUCCAUCUUGUCGUUGGGCGCGGGUGCCGGUUGUGCAGGAUAGGUGGGAGGCGAAGAAGCCAGGCCGUCAGGCCGGGUGGAGCCGCUGGUGAGAUACCACCCUGCCGGUGCCUGUGUCCUCACCCGGGCCGCAAGGCAGGGGACCGCGACUGGCGGGGAGUUUGACUGGGGCGGUCGCCUCCUAAAGUGUAACGGAGGCGCCCAAUGGUUCCCUCAGGCCGGAUGGCAAUCGGCCGGAGCGCGCAAGGGCAACAAGGGAGCUUGACUGCGAGGCGGACAGGCCGAGCAGGGACGAAAGUCGGGCCUAGUGAUCCCACGGUACCGAGUGGCAGGGCCGUGGCUUAACGGAUAAAAGCUACGCCGGGGAUAACAGGCUGAUCCUGCCCAAGAGUCCACAUCGACGGCAGGGUUUGGCACCUCGAUGUCGGCUCGUCGCAUCCUGGGGCCGGAGAAGGUCCCAAGGGUUGGGCUGUUCGCCCAUGAAAGCGGUACGCGAGCUGGGUUCAGAACGUCGUGAGACAGUUCGGUCUCUAUCCGCUGUGAGCGAUGGGUGUGUGCGGGGAGCUGUCCCUAGUACGAGAGGACCGGGAUGGACGCACCGCUGGUGAGCCAGUUGUCGUAUCCACGGCAUCGCUGGGUAGCUACGUGCGGGACGGCGAACCGCUGAAGGCAUCUAAGCGGGAAUCCUGCCCCAAGACGAGACACCCCAGGGAGCAAUCCCGAGAGCCCCCCGGGAGACGACCGGGUUGACAGGCGGGACGUGGACAGCCGGCAACGGACUGGAGCGGACCCGUGCUGAUGGGCAAGGGGGGAUCU